rnacentral:rRNA from 1 species
GACAGAGGUGCCAAGCGUUAGGCGGAAUCACUGGGCUUAAAGCGUGUGUAGGCGGACUGGUAAGUACCUUGUGAAAUCCCACGGCUCAACCGUGGAACUGCUCGGUAUACUGCUCGUCUUGAGCCACUUAGGGGCUGUCGGAACAAACGGUGGAGCGGUGAAAUGCGUAGAUAUCGAGAGGAACACCUGCGGCGAAGGCGGGUUGCUGGGCUGACACUGACGCUGAAGUGCGAAAGCUAGGGGAGCGAACGGG